UGAACCAUGAUCGCCAUCCGGCCUUGGUA
rnacentral:sRNA from 1 species